GAGGCAGCGCCGCCAGCAUGGAGUCCGUGCGAUAGACACAGGGAGGCACACUAAGGACGAAGAGACAAGAUGCGGCUGAAAGAAAUCAUCAUGGUGAUUUGGUCUGAAUGGAGAACAUGAGGAAAGAGAAGACCUACAUCAAAGAAGACGUCAUUAGAUGUUGAUCGCCUUCUGUCAGCUGCCACCGGGUGCUCACCUUGCUGCAGUCCUGUUUUGUUGUUCCGUAGCCGAAGUUCAGGCUGUUGUUGACCGUUCCAGGUUUCCAGGUUCUCGACAGUUGAAGUCUGCAAAGAAAGAGGAGGUGUCCGUCCAGUGAUGCUCCUUAUAUAGGGG